GCAGCACUUACCCCGAACGGUGAGAGUGACCCCAUCGAGCUCCUUCCCCGGAAACUACGCUCAACACCUCAGCAACAAGCCGCCAGAGCUUUGGACUGGUCCUUACCAGUGGUGUGGAUGGGACACGACGCACGCAGGCUCAUCGCAGUGGCACAGAGCCAUGUGCCGUCAAGUUCAGAGCCAGCAUGGGGCAGAGUCGCCACAUGGAAAUGGCAAGGCCCCAGAGCUGGAGCCACCUACAGCCUGGGAUUGAGCCUCCGCGGAGGGCUAUCAGCACUGGAGUCACGGGCAAAGGAUCCCAAAGAGAAUGGCUGUGAAAAAUACGAGAUCGAAAUUGACUGCCUUGAAGCUAUGCAUUUCAGACAUCACAGACUGGGGCUGAGCUCUCUCUGGAGGAUAGAUGGAUAUGAAAUUU